rnacentral:lncRNA from 1 species
GCUGAAUAGGAUGACCAAACAGAGUCGGGCUUGGCAUACUAGGAAUUUUAUGGUAGCUAGCCCAAAUGUUUUUGUUGGUAUAACUACGGAGCAGUGCAGAAGAGAUGAGGAGGGAGACCAAGACAUGGACCACUAAAAGACACCGAUGGACUUGCUGGCCAAGCACUUAUUAUAAGGCAAGACUGAAAAGGUCAAAGCUGUGGAAUCUCAGAGCACUGUGGCUACUAAUGUAGAUAAAGAGGCAAACUAUGUGAGUAAUCAGGGGCAUUUCUGAGGCAGUAGCCAAGGGAAUUAAGGUCAGAACUUUUAUGACAUACCUGAUUAUAAAGAUAGGG